CCGCCGUGUUUCUCGGCGGAGUGGAAUCGGCCGCGGGGCCUGCGGGGGAUGCUCCUUCCCGGUUCCGGGCGGGACUGUGCGCGGCGGCCGGGAGCGGCGGGCGGCGGCGGUUGGUGAAGGGCAAUUGCAGCAAUGGACUGACUGGUAAAGAUGGAGAGGGGAAGAGGAGGAGGAGGAGGAGGAAGGAGUGUGGGGGGCUCCAGCCUGCACAGGAGCAUUUACUCCCAGUCUCAACAGCAGUAUCACUAUCCUGCCUCCUCUCAGGGGGGCUGCAUGGAGAUCCAGGAGCUAGCCUCCAAAAGGGUGGACAUCCAGAAAAAGCGAUUUUAUCUGGAUGUGAAGCAGAGUUCCCGAGGCCGCUUCCUGAAGAUAGCGGAGGUCUGGAUAGGAAGAGGCAGGCAGGAAAAUAUCAGGAAAAGCAAACUGACUCUCUCCUUGUCUGUGGCUGCUGAGCUGAAGGAUUAUCUGGGAGAUUUCAUAGAGCACUAUGCCCAUUUGGGCCUCAAAGGCAGCCAUAGUCAUAGACAUGAACACAGCAAUGGCAAAGAGCAAGAUUUGAGAAGGCGGCAACAGCAUCAUCUGCCUUCGCCUCCAGCAUCUGUUGAAUCAGAAGAGCAUAGUCACAGUGUCCUGAAAACUGAAUAUAUAGAAAGAGACAACAGGAAGUAUUAUCUAGACCUGAAGGAGAAUCAACGUGGGCGUUUCUUAAGGAUUAGACAAACCAUGAUUAGAGGACCGGGCAUGAUAGGUUAUUUUGGACACAAUUUGGGACAGGAACAGACUAUUGUCCUUCCAGCCCAAGGGAUGAUUGAAUUCAGGGAUGCUUUGGUCCAGCUAAUUGAAGAAUAUGGGGAGGGAGAUAUAGAAGAACGACGAAGUGGGGGUGAUGAACCCCUUGAGCUUCCAGAGGGGACUUCCUUCAGGGUGGAUAACAAGCGGUUCUACUUUGAUGUGGGAUCUAACAGGUAUGGCAUUUUUUUGAAGGUAAGUGAGGUGAGACCACCUUACCGUAACACCAUCACUGUCCCGUAUAAAGCGUGGACAAGGUUUGGGGAAAACUUUAUCAAGUAUGAAGAAGAAAUGAGGAGAAUUUACAACAGCCAUAAAGAGAAAAGAAUGGAUGUCACAGGUGACAGUGGUGAAGAGCAAGAGGGUCUGGAAUAGAGUGCAUUUGAACUGGUCGUCAGGCAAAACAGAAAACCAUAAAUUGGCUGGAGGUUUAAAAAACAAACAGGUGCAAAGUGGCAUUGUUAUUGCUAUCAAGUUGCCAUUUUGGAGAAUUAGAGCCAGCCUACGUCUUAGCUAUUGAAAGUGCUCCAGUGAAGAUGUAGACCGGUAUCAGUUUGCAUCACUGCUUCAUAAUUAGGUUUCCUGUAUUUAUUUAUUGGCCUUCAGAAAUGCAUUGAUGUAUUGUAACUAUUACCCCAGGAAGUCGUAUCUUGCUGGCUGCUGAACAAGCUCAAUUCUCAGCUCUGAUACACAAUUAAGUGUUGCCUGUAUUUUGUAAAACCAGCUAAUGCACUUACUCUCACACGGUGAUACGCACCUGAGUAUCCGGGACGACACUUGAGCCAACUAUCAACAGUUAAAGCACUGACUACUGGUUUUCCAUAGAAAUGUAAAGCAUUGAUUGAAAAUACUAUAAUCCAAGCAUAACACUAACAAACUCAAAAUAUAGCAAUGCAAAACUUACACUGGUUACAUUUGGAAACGGGUUCCUCAUUAUUUUUGGCAAUGUGUUCCCAGCUUUAGAAAGCAGCAGUAUUAUGCUGCUUAUGUGCAGAAGGGCCCAUUAUAACACAAAGGAAUAUUGAAUUCCCAGUACAUUCUAAAUAGAUUGUCAUUCUUUACGCCCUAAAACUGCCUGACCCUUAAACUUGAGAAAAACACAAGCUUGUUUGCACUAAAGAGCAUGGCCAAAAACAAUUCUAAGAGGACAGGGUGAAAAGCAUCAGUCUGAAUCUCUUGAAUUAAUAGGUUCUCAUGAGAGAAUUUUACAUUAAAGCCCUCACCUGUUUUAAAGCUGUGUGGUCCAGGCAGAAAGUCUGUCAGUUCUAUAAUUAAAUAAUAAUGCACUUUAUUUUGUAAAUAAUAGAAGCACAUUUCUGCUAUUAGUUUGGUAGGAUGUGCUUCAGUAAUAUAUAGCCUAAAUCUGUGAGGGGUGGCCUCCUGCAUGCACGUCUGUCAAAGCUCUGUUGUAAUCACUUGAUCCAGUUACAAUGGUAUGAUAGAGAAGGCAGGCACUAUUAAAAAUCCUUUCAAAACCACAAGUCUGAUUCCCUCCUCGCCCCCACCCCCGAGGUAGCAUAGCACCCACAACUCCAGUUAACUUUAUUUGGAGUUGUGGGUGCUCAGCAUCUCUGAAAGAUCAGGCUCUAGAUAUUUUGUAAUGAAUGUAUAGCUAUGUUUUGUACUCAUAAUCUUUAUAGAGCUGGGUUCAGUAACUCCAUCUCACUUAGCUUUCUGUGACACUUUGCUGUCACAGAAGCCCUCAUAAUCCCAGAAAUGUUGAUUUGGAGUAGUGGGGGGGAUUGGGUGGGCUUCUGUGGUAUUGAAACUAGCCAGUUUGUAUUGAAUCCAGCCAUAGCGUGUAAACUUCCUUUCUUGUUAAAGUACAGAUAUAGUAUGUUGUUGGUUGUAAUAAUGCUAUGGGAGAGUUGGAACAUUACCCGCACUAGAAUGGUAAGGUUCACCACCAUGGCACUGUGUAGGACAUCUCACCACCUGUGACCAAGUAGACUGUCAAAUUUCAUGAAAUACAGAGAACAUAGCAAACUUAAAAGAAAUUCUUGAUUAGGGACUUUCAGAAGCAGCAACAUUUAUUCCUGCACCUGAGAGAGUGGGGAAUCUAUUUUAAUGCAACAAAACUUGAAAUACACGUUUAAUAUAAAUAUUAAUGGUGUGUGUACUUUAUCCAGAAAGAAACUGUGCUUCAAUAUAGUAGCAAUCUGCUCUUUAUCAUAAGUGCUUCAUAUGUGUAUUUAAUAUGUAUAAAUCCAAUACAUUUAUAUUGUAAAUCCACAGUAGCUCAAAGUGAAAUAAUAUAUUUAUCUGAAGUGCACAGUUUAAAGAUGGGACUUAAAAAUCAGUUUCUGCCUGGAACACAGUUUGGUUAAAUGUGUUAUUUCACUGAGAGCCGUUACAUAUAUUAUUUAUUGCAUCCCUUUUAAGAUUACUGCGUUUAAAUGUUUUGAUGUAUUAUUUAUUUGAAAUUUGGUGGAGAAGGGGAUGGUAUAUGACUCUCAGUAGAGCUGAAGGAAAAAUAGAAGAAAAAAAAUAAAACCUUAUUUCAAGGUGUCUCAUGUGAAAUAAGUAGUCUUGGGCUUUACUGGCAGCUUUGUAUGCAGGUUUACUGUUAGCUGCCAUAGUGUUUCAAAUCUGUCUUUAAAUCCCCAAAUGCUCCAAAUCUUUAGGUAGGAUAAAUGUAAAAUCGCAAAUAUGCUGCUAGAAGAGUUUAAAACAGGUUUAUUUGUGUAAAGGCUCAAACAAAAUUACCAAAAACAAUUUUAACAUACUUUUUCUGCUAAAUGUAUUUUAGUCAAAUGGCUGCAUCCUUUUUCUUCAGUGGCUUAUUAAAAUGACUUAAACUCUAUGGGGAGGAGAAUUAGGAGAACUGUUACUUGCUUGACUGACAACCCUUUUAACUAAAAGUGUAGUAAUUUUGUGCAAUGGAAAUGCAUUUAUUUUGUUGUUUGUUUUCACUGUACAGUGUCUUCACAGUGUGGAAAAUGAGUUAGUAAGCAGGCUGUAGUCCCAUUGCAACAGUACAUAUGUUUCCUGUAAAUACAAUAUAUAUGAAAUCUACAAAAUAAGUCCUAAAAAAACUAUACAUCUUGCAUUUUAUUUUCUAUGCUAUUUCCUCUAAGGUGAAAAUAUCUUAAUCCUUCUGUGUCAUGGCUUUUAAAAAUCACCUUGUCUUUCCUAUAUGCUUUUUAAUAAUUCAGAUCUGGAACAGUUUUCUUUAGUUAGGUGAGAAAUGAAAAAGUACACUACAUAUAAAAUGCCAGCCACAGACAACUUGAAGUAUUUUCUUAUAUACAUAUGCUAUCAACAGAAAUCCUAGAAUUAAUUACAGCAAAGUGCUUAUGGAUCAAGUAUAUGUGUGCAUGUAUUUGUAAUAGUGUACAUGUCAAAUACAUGGAUAGGCAUAUUCACAAUUUUAAAUACAAAUGAAGUCCUAGUCCUGCAACUUUUGCUGAAGCUGACAUCCCAAUGCAAGUAGUCACAUGACUAAGGAUUGCAGAAUAGGGCCCAUAAAAUAAUUAUUUUUGAUAGUAGCUCUUUUGCCUUUAAGUUUUAUCCCAUAUCCUGAUCCCAUUGAGGCAGAUGGGAAUUUUUCUAGUGACUUCAGUGGGAACAGGAUUGGGCCAAUUUUUGAAUACCAUCUUUAUGAGCA